ensembl:snRNA U6 U6 spliceosomal RNA
GUGCUCGUUUCGGCAGCACAUAUACAAAAAUUGGAACGAUACAGAGAAGAUUAGUAUGACCCCUGCGCAAGGAUGACAUGCAAAUUCGUGAAGCGUUCCAUAUUAAA